GACGAACGCUGGCGGCGUGCUUAACACAUGCAAGUCGAACGGAAAGGCCCUGCUUUUGUGGGGUGCUCGAGUGGCGAACGGGUGAGUAACACGUGAGUAACCUGCCCUUGACUUUGGGAUAACUUCAGGAAACUGGGGCUAAUACCGGAUAGGAGCUCCUGCUGCAUGGUGGGGGUUGGAAAGUUUCGGCGGUUGGGGAUGGACUCGCGGCUUAUCAGCUUGUUGGUGGGGUAGUGGCUUACCAAGGCUUUGACGGGUAGCCGGCCUGAGAGGGUGACCGGCCACAUGAGGACUGAGGUACGGCCCAGACUCCUACGGGAGGCAGCAGUGGGGAAUAUUGCACAAUGGGCGGAAGCCUGAUGCAGCAACGCCGCGUGCGGGAUGACGGCCUUCGGGUUGUAAACCGCUUUCGCCUGUGACGAAGCGUGAGUGACGGUAAUGGGUAAAGAAGCACCGGCUAACUACGUG
rnacentral:rRNA from 1 species